rnacentral:lncRNA from 8 species
CAUGAAGGAACUAGCCUUGCAUACACUCUUAGAUAGAUCCCUUUUGGGAUCAAUGUAGAACCCUUUCCACAGACGGUUCUUCCUGGACCCAAAAGGGUUCUCUUAUGGGGACCGAUGAAUAACCCUUUAGGAACCCUUUUUUUUAAGAGUGUACAGAUGUCACACCCCCACACCCCACAUCCCCCCACCCACCUUUUAAUCUCCUGAUCUAUGUGUGAAUGCACAGAUGGAAGAGAGGAACAGACCAGAGAAAAAAGAGAGGAUGACCAUGCAGAUGAAAUUCUAAAUCCCUAACAACAAAAGCAGCUGCUGCACUACACUGGGCGAGACAGAGAGGCAGAACGUCUGCUUCUUGUCGCGUUACGUAACGUCCCCCUAUCACUCGAUUGGCCCGCGGGGCGUCAGCGUGAAGUUAUGGGAAAACAAAAGGGUGAGGACACAGGUUGAGCCAAUUAAACGAUGCAAAAGCCAAGGGAUAUGCCUUUCGGUAUUGUUCUUGCCCGGGAGGGAAAAUGUCACAGCAGUGGCGCUGGUGCUGGCGCUGCUUUGGAGCGGAUCUGACACUCCGGUAAUUACUUCG